CCUACGUGGUUUACUUCAAUUAGUCAGUUUGUGUUCCAACGCUCGCUUUUUGUUCAGGUAUGGUUAGUGCACGGAGAAACCAAUAAGUGUAGCUAAUCUACCUUUUGAUGGCAUGUAUAGUUUUAUUUAGUCUACAAGGAAGCUGCGAUACAAGCAGCAGAGAAACCGUAGCAGGACAAAGAAGCGCAGAGUCGCAACCCACAUAGCAAAAUGAUAUUCCCAGAAUAUACCUGGAAUAUUCAUGUGAUGUACAUGCAUAUUACUGGGACGUACAUGAGUUCCAU